rnacentral:rRNA from 1 species
CCUACGGGGGGCACCCAACUGAAUGGAGCCCUACGGGGGGCUGCAGUGGGGAAUAUUGGACAAUGGGGGGAACCCUGAUCCAGCCAUGCCGCGUGUGUGAAGAAGGCCUUAUGGUUGUAAAGCACUUUAAGCGAGGAGGAGGCUACUUUAGUUAAUACCUAGAGAUAGUGGACGUUACUCGCAGAAUAAGCACCGGCUAACUCUGUGCCAGCAGCCGCGGUAAUACAGAGGGUGCGAGCGUUAAUCGGAUUUACUGGGCGUAAAGCGUGCGUAGGCGGCUUAUUAAGUCGGAUGUGAAAUCCCCGAGCUUAACUUGGGAAUUGCAUUCGAUACUGGUGAGCUAGAGUAUGGGAGAGGAUGGUAGAAUUCCAGGUGUAGCGGUGAAAUGCGUAGAGAUCUGGAGGAAUACCGAUGGCGAAGGCAGCCAUCUGGCCUAAUACUGACGCUGAGGUACGAAAGCAUGGGGAGCAAACAGGAUUAGAUACCCCUGUAGUC